UGAGGAAUAUUGGUCAAUGGGCGAGAGCCUGAACCAGCCAUGCCGCGUGCAGGAUGACGGCUCUAUGAGUUGUAAACUGCUUUUAUACGAGAAUAGGGUAGAUACGUGUAUUUAUUUGAAUGUAUCGUAUGAAUAAGGAUCGGCUAACUCCGUGCCAGCAGCCGCGGUAAUACGGAGGAUUCGAGCGUUAUCCGGAAUUACUGGGUGUAAAGGGAGCGUAGGCGGGGUUUCAAGUUGGGUGUUAAAUCUAUCGGCUCAACCGAUAGUCGCACUCAAAACUGGGACUCUUGAGUGAAGUAGAGGCAGGCGGAAUUCCUAGUGUAGCGGUGAAAUGCGUAGAUAUUAGGAGGAACACCAGUGGCGAAGGCGGCUUACUAGACGAUCACUGACGUUGAGGCUCGAAAGCGUGGGGAGCAAACA
rnacentral:rRNA from 1 species